UCUUGGAAAAAUCCACCUGGAUGAACUCGAGGCUUACGUGCCACCAGACCCAGUGAGAAGACAGGAUUGAUACAAAAAUGAACUUCCAGCCAGGAAGCUGCUCCCAGAAUGGAUGACAGGAGGUGAGCUCCCUGUGGACAGAGUCAGUUUGUGGCUUCUGGAUCCUUGUUGCUCAGGACCCAGCAGGCUCAGAGCAAAUCUUUUCUGAAUGAAUGAAUCGUUUUGGGAAGUGGCCGAGGGGCGCUUUCCAGAAAUCCUGGCAUGACCACUGCAUCGCACAACUCCAGGAGGGGCCAUUCUCAUUUACAGAAGACCUGGAAGCUUCCCCAUCACUGCACUAUAGGAGGGAUUGUGGGGUAAACCCUGAGUCAUAGUCUUACCAGUCUUUGGGUACCAGAGACCCCCUUUCUCUCAUGAGGUCCACAAGCCUAGAGAGACCUGACCUCAGGCCUGGGAGGGGACCUGGGGUUGCAACGGAAGUCAACAGUCAGCCCCAGACGUCAGGGACCCACCCUCCUCGACAGAGCCUCUCCGCAGGGCUGAGGAGGAAGGGGGGAAAUAAUUAACCAGAAGGAAGCCUCCAGGGGCGAAGGUGCCCACAUCCAAGCCUCCUGGGGCACCAGCCCACUCUGUUUGCCAAAGGAAGGUGCUGCAUGAAGUGACAGUAGGGCACGGAGGCCCAUCCUCACUUGCGCAUCCCAGCUGCCUUGCCCCCUCUUGUUUUUUCCACCUGGCUAGGUACAGGCUAGGCUCUCUCCUCAGUACCUUAUGCCCUUAGGACCUUGAAGCUUGGGGAGAGUCCCUAGGGAUGCCUGGGGGACGAGGAAGCCACCGUUUAUGGAGCAGCCCAGGAGCUGGGUGUUUUCCUGUUUGCUGUUACCCAAAGCGCCAACAACCAUUAAGGUGGGUGUGGUGGUCCCAGGUUACAGUGAACACCAGAGGGUAAGUGGCUUGCUCAGGGUCAGUGAACCAGGGAGUGGCAGAGCCAGGCUGGAACCCUGGACUGCCUAACUCCAGGAGCAUUCCUUGCUCUCUGAAACGGCGGCUGGAGGGGUGCGCGCACAGUCCGCAGAGCCCAGUCUGUCUGAUGCCAGGCCCGCUUUCUUGCUAGGUAACUUCCACCACCGUCCUCCACCCUGGACGUGAACUCAAGGGGUGGGGCCACCUUGACCCUCGCCCAGAGACCCGCCCCUCCUCCUCCCCCACAGGAGGCCGAUUCUGCUGAAGCUGCUGUUUCCUGUACUGAGCUUCUCAUGGGAACAAUUGCAUGACCAGUUACUUAUCCUCCCCUGGGGCUAAGGGCAAGCCAGUCCCCCAACACCCAACCCUGUCACCCCAGAAUUCUCUAGCCAGAGACGAGGAGGACGCUGGGGCGGGCAGUCUGCUGAUUCAAGAAGAAAGCCCUGCUGACGACAGCGGAGGGUUCCUGAGGGCUUCUCUGUGCCAGGCAUUGUGCUCUACCCACCUCAGAUGUUUUCUAAUCACAUUUAGCUGCUCUGUGAAGUAAUGCUAUUGUUCCCAUUUCACAGAAGAAGAAACAAAGGUGCAAGUAAAUUAAGUAAAUGCCUCCACAUCCUACAAACAGCAAGUGAGAAAGCCGGGGCACCUGGUAACGGAGCCUCAGCUUUUACCUUUACCCUAAGCAGGGUCCCUUGCGGUUGAGGGAUGUCCUCCAGACCGGGGCUCUCUGGGACCAGUUAGCUGCUCUGGGCUGAACUGGGGCUCUGAAUCCACAGAGCUCUCUCCUCAGGGUCCCGCACUUCCUGCUGCCAGGCUCUCAGCAAGUCCCUUAAUUUCUGAGACCCCCUUUCCUCCCGCCAAAGGGCGCAGUUAGCCAUCCAGUUUGCCCAGCGGGUUCAGUCUAUGACUCCCCUACCCCUUCACAGCUUCCCUGCGCCCCUCUCCACAUGUCUGUCUGUCUCUGGAUCAGAACCCUAAAACGGUUUCAGUUUCAAAGUUCAUUCCAGAAGGCUCCUCUGCCCCCGGUGGCUCUGGCCCCGGGUCCCCAUUCCUACCCCUCUGGGCAGUCUCUCCAGCUGUAGCAAUGACUUGCUGUCCUGCUCUUCCUGGGUCAUGGGGUUCUUAACUGGGGCGUGGAAUUCUGAGGACUUUCUGAGGGAAAACUUGUUCAUUUUUUUUGGCUAACAUCUAACUGAGGUCAUAAACCUGGGCAGCAAAAUCAUACUGCUGUUAAUGGUACCCUGGGUGCUUUGAUGCCACAUAACUGACUGUGACUGUCAGCUCUCAGGUACUUGCAAAGAGUAGUUGUCACGGUUCUCUCAAAUGUAGCCUGAAAUAUUGUUUACAUCCAUCACAGGUUUUGAGAUUACAGACGUUACCGUACCAACACUAGAUCCAAGUUAUUUAAUGAAUAAAGAAGCAUCUCUA